AUCUCCUUCAGUAUCUGGUUUUAAAAUUAUGAAAAAAAUAUCAGUGUACAGCUUGAUAAAUGCUUUGAUGAAUACAAUCAGUCUUGUUACUACUGCAAUAUAGGGAUUGAUUCUGGGAAAAAAAUAAAGCAUGCGAAUACGUCCCUUACGAAACGGUCCCCUACGAAACAAGUAUGGGAGAAAAACGUUUCGUAGUGGACACUACCACUACCAUGUAGUCUUUUUUUAAUCUUUUUUCAAUUAUAGUCGUGCAAAACAAAUAACAAGAGUUAGUUUCAUGUAAUUUUUAUUAUGUUUUUAUUAACAUAUAAUAGGGUUGAUGUCAACUACGAAACUUUUUGUCCACUACGAAACGGUUUUG
rnacentral:lncRNA from 1 species